AUCCCCAUCUUCACUUUGCCACCUGGAGCCCAUCUGUCCUCGGUGGUCAUUCAUGUUGGGGAGAAUAGCUCAUCCUCACGCACCCCAGUCUGAACUUGGUGUUUUGGCUUUGGGUCGUCUUUGAGGAGACAUCA
rnacentral:snoRNA from 1 species